UACGUAGGGUGCAAGCGUUAUCCGGAAUUAUUGGGCGUAAAGAGCUCGUAGGCGGUUUGUCGCGUCUGCUGUGAAAACUGGGGGCUCAACCCCCAGCCUGCAGUGGGUACGGGCAGACUAGAGUGCGGUAGGGGAGAUUGGAAUUCCUGGUGUAGCGGUGGAAUGCGCAGAUAUCAGGAGGAACACCGAUGGCGAAGGCAGAUCUCUGGGCCGUAACUGACGCUGAGGAGCGAAAGCUAGGGGAGCAAACGGG
rnacentral:rRNA from 1 species